rnacentral:rRNA from 1 species
GAUGAACGCUGGCGGCGUGCCUAAUACAUGCAAGUCGAGCGAACAGACGAGGAGCUUGCUCCUCUGACGUUAGCGGCGGACGGGUGAGUAACACGUGGAUAACCUACCUAUAAGACUGGGAUAACUUCGGGAAACCGGAGCUAAUACCGGAUAAUAUAUUGAACCGCAUGGUUCAAUAGUGAAAGACGGUUUUGCUGUCACUUAUAGAUGGAUCCGCGCCGCAUUAGCUAGUUGGUAAGGUAACGGCUUACCAAGGCAACGAUGCGUAACCGACCUGAGGGGGGGUCCGGCACACCGGAACUGGGGCACGGUGCCAAACCCCAACGGGGGGAGGAGGGGGGGAAUUUUCCCAAAGGGGGGAAGCCCUGACGGGGCAACGCCGGGGGGGGAAAAAAGGUUUUCGGAUGGAAAAACUUUUUUUUUAGGGAAAAAAAAAUGGGGAAAUAACCUUGCCGGUCUGAAGGGAACCAAAUAAGAAAGCCCGGGUAAAUUCGGG